rnacentral:lncRNA from 1 species
AGAUACAGUGCCUUAGAUCACUGCGCCACUCGGGCGCCCUCAGAGCAUGCGCAGACCAGCUGGCUGGUGUGUUUACGGACAUGUUCAAUCGAUCCCUAUCCCAGUCUGCUGUUCCCACAUGCUUCAAGAGGGCCACCAUUGUUCCUGUUCCCAAGAAAGCUAAGGUAACUGAGCUAAACGACUACCGCCCCGUGGCACUCACCUCCGUCAUCAUGAAGUGCUUUGAGAGACUAGUCAAGGACCAUAUCACCUCCACCCUACCUGACACCCUAGACCCACUCCAAUUUGCUUACCGCCCAAAUAGGUCCACAGACGAUGCAAUCUCAACCACACUGCACACUGCCCUAACCCAUCUGGACAAGAGGAAUACCUAUGUGAGAAUGCUGUUCAUCGACUACAGCUCAACAUUUAACACCAUAGUACCCUCCAAACUCGUCAUCAAGCUCGAGACCCUGGGUCUCGACCCCGCCCUGUGCAACUGGGUACUGGACUUCCUGACGGGCCGCCCCCAGGUGGUGAGGGUAGGUAACAACAUCUCCACCCCGCUGAUCCUCAACACUGGGGCCCCACAAGGGUGCGUUCUGAGCCCUCUCCUGUACUCCCUGUUCACCCACGACUGUGUGGCCACGCACGCCUCCAACUCAAUCAUCAAGUUUGCGGACGACACAACAGUGGUAGGCUUGAUUACCAACAACGACGAGACGGCCUACAGGGAGGAGGUGAGGGCCCUCGGAGUGUGGUGUCAGGAAAAUAACCUCACACUCAACGUCAACAAAACUAAGGAGAUGAUUGUGGACUUCAGGAAACAGCAGAGGGAACACCCCCGGAUCCACAUCGAUGGAACAGUAGUGGAGAGGGUAGUAAGUUUUAAGUUCCUCGGCGUACACAUCACAGACAAACUGAAUUGGUCCACCCACACAAACAGCACCGUGAAGAAGGCGCAGCAGUGCCUCUUCAACCUCAGGAGGCUGAAGAAAUUCGGCUUGUCACCAAAAGCACUCACAAACUUCUACAGAUGCUCAAUCGAGAGCAUCCUGUCGGGCUGUAUCACCGCCUGGUACGGCAACUGCCCCGCCCACAACCGUAAGGCUCUCCAGAGGGUAGUGAGGUCUGCACAACGCAUCACCGGGGGCAAACUACCUGCCCUCCAGGAUACCUACACCACCCGAUGUCACAGGAAGGCCAUAAAGAUCAUCAAGGACAACAACCACCCGAGCCACUGCCUGUUCAUCCCGCGAGGCGAGGUCAGUUCAUCCCGCGAGGCGAGGUCAGUACAGGUGCAUCAAAGCUGGGACCGAGAGACUGAAAAACAGCUUCUAUCUCAAGGCCAUCAGACUGCUGCCAACACACUGACUCAACUCCAGCCACUUUAAUAAUGGGAAUUGAUGGGAAUUGAUGUAAAAUAUAUCACUAGCCACUUUAAACAAUGCUACUUAAUAUAAUGUUUACAUACCCUACAUUAUUCAUCUCAUAUGUCUACGUAUAUACUGUACUCUAUAUCAUCUACUGCAUCUUUAUGUAAUACAUGUAUCACUAGCCACUUUAAACUAUGCCACUUUGUUUACAUACUCAUCUCAUAUGUAUAUACUGUACUCGAUACCAUCUACUGCAUCUUGCCUAUGCCGCUCUGUACCAUCACUCAUUCAUAUAUCUUUAUGUACAUAUUCUUUAUCCCUUUACACUUGUGUGUGUAUAAGGUAGUAGUUUUGGAAUUGUUAGCUAGAUUACUCGUUGGUUAUUACUGCAUUGUCGGAACUAGAAGCACAAGCAUUUCUCUACACUCGCAUUAACAUCUGCUAACCAUGUGUAUGUGACAAAUAAAAUUUGAUUUGAUUUGAUU